UUUUUUGGCUAUCAAUCUUUCCGGUCGAGUUUCAGCCACGGAUUCUGCCAAUAUCCGAGCCAACUCAGUUGACUCAGGUAUAUUCGCAGUCCCCUCACCAAAUCGAAUACCUACCCGCAACUGAUCAACUAGGAGCUGAGCGUUUGUAAACUGGUCCGCGCUCAUCGGCCAAGUUAGCAUCACCGCGCCUGUCGCGAUACCUUCAAGCACCGAGUUCCAUCCGCAAUGAGUCAAGAACGCGCCAACUGCACGGUGCCUUAGUAUAGCUACCUGCGGGGCCCAUCCUUUUAUAAUGAA
rnacentral:misc_RNA from 1 species